ensembl:ncRNA C34D1.11 ncRNA
ACUCAUAACAAAAGAGCCUGAGGCUUCAAACUACCGAACAUGGAAAACAUGUUUGACAAGUUUUUGGUGCCAAAUCCGCUUCCUGUGUAUACUACUAAACUCGGUUUUUCCUUCUCCUAGUUCUCCUUUUUCUGGUAGUC